GAUGAACGCUAGCGGCAGGCCUAACACAUGCAAGUCGAGGGGUAACAUUGGAGCUUGCUUCAGAUGACGACCGGCGCACGGGUGCGCACCGCGUAUGGAACCUACCUUUUACAGAGGGAUAGCCCAGGGAAACUUGGAUUAAUACCUCAUAGUAUCAUUAUACGGCAUUGUAUUAUGAUUAAAGCAUUCGUGCGGUAAAAGAUGGCCAUGCGUCCCAUUAGCUAGAUGGUAAGGUAACGGCUUACCAUGGCUACGAUGGGUAGGGGCCCUGAGAGGGGGAUCCCCCACACUGGUACUGAGACACGGACCAG
rnacentral:rRNA from 1 species